AAGCAAAUGAUGAUAUGUACUCGGAUUCCCCUUCAUAGUUGAUGCCAUUUGAGCUUUAGAUGCU
rnacentral:snoRNA from 1 species